UUAAGCGACUAAGCGUACACGGUGGAUGCCCUGGCAGUCAGAGGCGAUGAAGGACGUGCUAAUCUGCGAUAAGCGUCGGUAAGGUGAUAUGAACCGUUAUAACCGGCGAUUUCCGAAUGGGGAAACCCAGUGUGUUUCGACACACUAUCAUUAACUGAAUCCAUAGGUUAAUGAGGCGAACCGGGGGAACUGAAACAUCUAAGUACCCCGAGGAAAAGAAAUCAACCGAGAUUCCCCCAGUAGCGGCGAGCGAACGGGGAGCAGCCCAGAGUCUGAAUCAGUGUGUGUGUUAGUGGAAGCGUCUGGAAAGGCGCGCGAUACAGGGUGACAGCCCCGUACACAAAAAUGCACAUGCUGUGAGCUCGAUGAGUAGGGCGGGACACGUGGUAUCCUGUCUGAAUAUGGGGGGACCAUCCUCCAAGGCUAAAUACUCCUGACUGACCGAUAGUGAACCAGUACCGUGAGGGAAAGGCGAAAAGAACCCCGGCGAGGGGAGUGAAAAAGAACCUGAAACCGUGUACGUACAAGCAGUGGGAGCACGCUUAGGCGUGUGACUGCGUACCUUUUGUAUAAUGGGUCAGCGACUUAUAUUCUGUAGCAAGGUUAACCGAAUAGGGGAGCCGAAGGGAAACCGAGUCUUAACUGGGCGUUAAGUUGCAGGGUAUAGACCCGAAACCCGGUGAUCUAGCCAUGGGCAGGUUGAAGGUUGGGUAACACUAACUGGAGGACCGAACCGACUAAUGUUGAAAAAUUAGCGGAUGACUUGUGGCUGGGGGUGAAAGGCCAAUCAAACCGGGAGAUAGCUGGUUCUCCCCGAAAGCUAUUUAGGUAGCGCCUCGUGAAUUCAUCUCCGGGGGUAGAGCACUGUUUCGGCAAGGGGGUCAUCCCGACUUACCAACCCGAUGCAAACUGCGAAUACCGGAGAAUGUUAUCACGGGAGACACACGGCGGGUGCUAACGUCCGUCGUGAAGAGGGAAACAACCCAGACCGCCAGCUAAGGUCCCAAAGUCAUGGUUAAGUGGGAAACGAUGUGGGAAGGCCCAGACAGCCAGGAUGUUGGCUUAGAAGCAGCCAUCAUUUAAAGAAAGCGUAAUAGCUCACUGGUCGAGUCGGCCUGCGCGGAAGAUGUAACGGGGCUAAACCAUGCACCGAAGCUGCGGCAGCGACGCUUAUGCGUUGUUGGGUAGGGGAGCGUUCUGUAAGCCUGCGAAGGUGUGCUGUGAGGCAUGCUGGAGGUAUCAGAAGUGCGAAUGCUGACAUAAGUAACGAUAAAGCGGGUGAAAAGCCCGCUCGCCGGAAGACCAAGGGUUCCUGUCCAACGUUAAUCGGGGCAGGGUGAGUCGACCCCUAAGGCGAGGCCGAAAGGCGUAGUCGAUGGGAAACAGGUUAAUAUUCCUGUACUUGGUGUUACUGCGAAGGGGGGACGGAGAAGGCUAUGUUGGCCGGGCGACGGUUGUCCCGGUUUAAGCGUGUAGGCUGGUUUUCCAGGCAAAUCCGGAAAAUCAAGGCUGAGGCGUGAUGACGAGGCACUACGGUGCUGAAGCAACAAAUGCCCUGCUUCCAGGAAAAGCCUCUAAGCAUCAGGUAACAUCAAAUCGUACCCCAAACCGACACAGGUGGUCAGGUAGAGAAUACCAAGGCGCUUGAGAGAACUCGGGUGAAGGAACUAGGCAAAAUGGUGCCGUAACUUCGGGAGAAGGCACGCUGAUAUGUAGGUGAAGUCCCUCGCGGAUGGAGCUGAAAUCAGUCGAAGAUACCAGCUGGCUGCAACUGUUUAUUAAAAACACAGCACUGUGCAAACACGAAAGUGGACGUAUACGGUGUGACGCCUGCCCGGUGCCGGAAGGUUAAUUGAUGGGGUUAGCGCAAGCGAAGCUCUUGAUCGAAGCCCCGGUAAACGGCGGCCGUAACUAUAACGGUCCUAAGGUAGCGAAAUUCCUUGUCGGGUAAGUUCCGACCUGCACGAAUGGCGUAAUGAUGGCCAGGCUGUCUCCACCCGAGACUCAGUGAAAUUGAACUCGCUGUGAAGAUGCAGUGUACCCGCGGCAAGACGGAAAGACCCCGUGAACCUUUACUAUAGCUUGACACUGAACAUUGAGCCUUGAUGUGUAGGAUAGGUGGGAGGCUUUGAAGUGUGGACGCCAGUCUGCAUGGAGCCGACCUUGAAAUACCACCCUUUAAUGUUUGAUGUUCUAACGUUGACCCGUAAUCCGGGUUGCGGACAGUGUCUGGUGGGUAGUUUGACUGGGGCGGUCUCCUCCUAAAGAGUAACGGAGGAGCACGAAGGUUGGCUAAUCCUGGUCGGACAUCAGGAGGUUAGUGCAAUGGCAUAAGCCAGCUUGACUGCGAGCGUGACGGCGCGAGCAGGUGCGAAAGCAGGUCAUAGUGAUCCGGUGGUUCUGAAUGGAAGGGCCAUCGCUCAACGGAUAAAAGGUACUCCGGGGAUAACAGGCUGAUACCGCCCAAGAGUUCAUAUCGACGGCGGUGUUUGGCACCUCGAUGUCGGCUCAUCACAUCCUGGGGCUGAAGUAGGUCCCAAGGGUAUGGCUGUUCGCCAUUUAAAGUGGUACGCGAGCUGGGUUUAGAACGUCGUGAGACAGUUCGGUCCCUAUCUGCCGUGGGCGCUGGAGAACUGAGGGGGGCUGCUCCUAGUACGAGAGGACCGGAGUGGACGCAUCACUGGUGUUCGGGUUGUCAUGCCAAUGGCACUGCCCGGUAGCUAAAUGCGGAAGAGAUAAGUGCUGAAAGCAUCUAAGCACGAAACUUGCCCCGAGAUGAGUUCUCCCUGACUCCUUGAGAGUCCUGAAGGAACGUUGAAGACGACGACGUUGAUAGGCCGGGUGUGUAAGCGCAGCGAUGCGUUGAGCUAACCGGUACUAAUGAACCGUGAGGCUUAACCUU
rnacentral:rRNA from 1 species